rnacentral:lncRNA from 1 species
UUGUUCAUAAAAUCUGCUAGAAGGACGGUGUGGGUAAGGGAACACUUGUCAGCUAUGGUGUUCAGUACUUGCAAGGCUUGCGAGUGGGAGAGGCAAUGCGAGAUGGCGUCUACAACCCAUACCGUCUUCUUUUCUGGUUCAAAACCUGAUCUCUGGAGCUUUUCAACCCAGUCAUUAUUUCUAAUGUCUGCAGCUACCCUGUUGAGAGAUUUUGCCGUCAAUCUUGGUGGAUGAUGUUCAUUCAUCGACUUGGUUGCUGCCUCUAGAAGUGUUGCUUUCACUUCUAAGACAUCGGAGAAAUCAACCUCGAAGACAUCAGUUUCCUUUAAGCUGCUUAGACGGUACGCCCUUGUAUCCAUACCUGUUACAUUUAUUGCACACACUCAAUCCUGUCAGAACACUUCAAUAUUUGACAAUAGCUAAACCAAUUUAACUAAGAGACGAAGCAAUUGCCAGCUUUAGGCCGGUUGAUCUGAACCACUCCCAUUGGUUAUAUUAGCGGUUGGGUCAGUUUGGCUUGGUGUUGUUUUGUCUCACUUCUCACCAUGAGUGAGACAACACAAAUGCUACUUAUUAUCAAUUAUUCAAACACAUUCACUUUUAUUCACAUACAUAAUUUAUUUAUUCAUCGUCAUCCACAAAUGCUAUCUUUCUCUAUUACUAGUUAAUCAAAAUUUUCACGCAUUUUCAUCCCUUUGGGGACAUCCAAUAAAAAUUCACGCAUUUUCAUAAGGUAUCGUUUGUAUGCGAUGAGAUAAAUUGGUGACAGACGUGACUUUUUCCUUUUGGCUUUAAGGUAUCAGACAAGGAAUCAAAAUCUAAUGACUAAAGUAUUUGGAUGGAUUAUGGACAGAUAAUAGGGUAAAAGAGAGCGCAGUGGGGGUGGAUCACGAACCUGCACCAAGUAGAACAACCUGAGCUUGAGCAUGGAAGGAAGUGAGAGCAGC